rnacentral:rRNA from 1 species
AUGAACGCUAGCUACAGGCUUAACACAUGCAAGUCGAGGGGCAGCAUGGUCUUAGCUUGCUAAGGCCGAUGGCGACCGGCGCACGGGCGAGUAACACGUAUCCAACCUGCCGUCUACUCUUGGACAGCCUUCUGAAAGGAAGAUUAAUACAAGAUGGCAUCAUGAGUCCGCAUGUUCACAUGAUUAAAGGUAUUCCGGUAGACGAUGGGGAUGCGUUCCAUUAGAUAGUAGGCGGGGUAACGGCCCACCUAGUCUUCGAUGGAUAGGGGUUCUGAGAGGAAGGUCCCCCACAUUGGAACUGAGACACGGUCCAAACUCCUACGGGAGGCAGCAGUGAGGAAUAUUGGUCAAUGGGCGAGAGCCUGAACCAGCCAAGUAGCGUGAAGGAUGACUGCCCUAUGGGUUGUAAACUUCUUUUAUAAAGGAAUAAAGUCGGGUAUGGAUACCCGUUUGCAUGUACUUUAUGAAUAAGGAUCGGCUAACUCCGUGCCAGCAGCCGCGGUAAUACGGAGGAUCCGAGCGUUAUCCGGAUUUAUUGGGUUUAAAGGGAGCGUAGAUGGAUGUUUAAGUCAGUUGUGAAAGUUUGCGGCUCAACCGUAAAAUUGCAGUUGAUACUGGAUAUCUUGAGUGCAGUUGAGGCAGGCGGAAUUCGUGGUGUAGCGGUGAAAUGCUUAGAUAUCACGAAGAACUCCGAUUGCGAAGGCAGCCUGCUAAGCUGCAACUGACAUUGAGGCUCGAAAGUGUGGGUAUCAAACAGGAUUAGAUACCCUGGUAGUCCACACGGUAAACGAUGAAUACUCGCUGUUUGCGAUAUACUGCAAGCGGCCAAGCGAAAGCGUUAAGUAUUCCACCUGGGGAGUACGCCGGCAACGGUGAAACUCAAAGGAAUUGACGGGGGCCCGCACAAGCGGAGGAACAUGUGGUUUAAUUCGAUGAUACGCGAGGAACCUUACCCGGGCUUAAAUUGCAGAUGAAUUACGGUGAAAGCCGUAAGCCGCAAGGCAUCUGUGAAGGUGCUGCAUGGUUGUCGUCAGCUCGUGCCGUGAGGUGUCGGCUUAAGUGCCAUAACGAGCGCAACCCUUGUUGUCAGUUACUAACAGGUUCCGCUGAGGACUCUGACAAGACUGCCAUCGUAAGAUGUGAGGAAGGUGGGGAUGACGUCAAAUCAGCACGGCCCUUACGUCCGGGGCUACACACGUGUUACAAUGGGGGGUACAGAGGGCCGCUACCACGCGAGUGGAUGCCAAUCCCAAAAACCUCUCUCAGUUCGGACUGGAGUCUGCAACCCGACUCCACGAAGCUGGAUUCGCUAGUAAUCGCGCAUCAGCCACGGCGCGGUGAAUACGUUCCCGGGCCUUGUACACACCGCCCGUCAAGCCAUGGGAGCCGGGGGUACCUGAAGUGCGUAACCGCGAGGAGCGCCCUAGGGUAAAACUGGUGACUGGGGCU